UGAGGAAUAUUGCGCAAUGGGGGCAACCCUGACGCAGCAACGCCGCGUGAGCGAGGAAGGUCUUCGGAUCGUAAAGCUCUGUCAGAUGGAAAGAACCGCAUGGAGAUAAAUAGUCUUCAUGUCUGACGGUACAAUCAAAGGAAGCACCGGCUAACUCCGUGCCAGCAGCCGCGGUAAUACGGGGGGUGCAAGCGUUGUUCGGAAUUAUUGGGCGUAAAGAGCGUGUAGGCGGCCUGAUGUGUCAGAUGUGAAAGCCCUGAGCUCAACUCAGGAAGUGCAUUUGAAAAUGUCGGGCUUGAGUAGGGGAGAGGGAAUUGGAAUUCCUGGUGUAGAGGUGAAAUUCGUAGAUAUCAGGAGGAACACCGGUGGCGAAGGCGACUUCCUGGCCCUAUACUGACGCUGAGACGCGAGAGCGUGGGUAGCAAACA
rnacentral:rRNA from 1 species